AUUAGAGGGAGGCCGAACCGAGGAACAAGGUUCUGCAAUAGUUUUUUCUGUGACUACCAAAGCAAUCUCGGACCUAGUGGGGAAGGCUUCGACCCAUCUAGAAAACGCUGUUGAGUUUCUGAAAAUUUAUCAAGAGCUAUAUUUAAAAUAUGUGCACUUUUACAGGCGGUACUGGGGGUGAAUGCUGGAAACACUGACGAGGAAGAGGGGGUGAGAGAAGAAAGGGCCUACAGUUGAUCUAAAAUCACCCCAGAAGGAAAACGUCCACUACUGAUUCAUUGCAAGGUCUUUAGUGGGGCAGAACUAGGUGGAUGACUAUCUAUUCAGCAAAGGGGAGGCAGCCAUGGUGGCCAGGUCAGUAUCUGAAGCUACUGGAAUAAGGAUGAUAUCUAGACAGAAGAUAACAUUCUCCACCUA